AUUGAACGCUGGCGGCAUGCCUUACACAUGCAAGUCGAACGGCAGCACGGGAGCAAUCCUGGUGGCGAGUGGCGAACGGGUGAGUAAUAUAUCGGAACGUGCCCAGUAGUGGGGGAUAGCCCGGCGAAAGCCGGAUUAAUACCGCAUACGACCUGUGGGUGAAAGCGGGGGAUCGCAAGACCUCGCGCUAUUGGAGCGGCCGAUAUCAGAUUAGCUAGUUGGUGGGGUAAAGGCCUACCAAGGCGACGAUCUGUAGCUGGUCUGAGAGGACGACCAGCCACACUGGGACUGAGACACGGCCCAGACUCCUACGGGAGGCAGCAGUGGGGAAUUUUGGACAAUGGGCGCAAGCCUGAUCCAGCCAUGCCGCGUGUGGGAAGAAGGCCUGGUGUAACACUUGUCAGGAGAAACGGACCGUUUCUAAUACAAGGGCUAAUAGACGGUACCUGAAGAAUAAG
rnacentral:rRNA from 1 species